AUUUAUGUUGUCUGUGGUCUGUAAAAGCAAAGCUAUUUUGUUUUGACUUUCUGAUUUGAAGUCUGAACUCAGAAUCUGAAAUCUGAAUGUAAUUUUAAAAAAAGCGUAUCCAAAUCUUUAUUUCCGAAAUAAUACAUUUUUAGAAUUAUAGAGUUUUUAUAUGUUAAUAAAUAGUUGCGACCGAUGUCAGAAACUUCUUUACAAGGAAAUCAAUCCCGUAAGGAAGAGCAGCCGUCCAAAAUACCGGAGUCAGUUAAGAAAAUAAUAUCAAUGGAAAAGGAAAACGAAACAAAUGCUAGUCGAAAGUCUCGAAUUGAUCUCAAUGCACUGCCUACACGCCAGUACCUCGACCAAACAGUUGUUCCUAUAUUACUGCAAGGCCUAUCAGCCCUUGCGAAAGAACGUCCACCAGACCCAAUAAAUUAUUUGGCAGCUUAUUUAUUAAAAAAUAAGAAUACAUUUGACAACAAUAACUCGGGGUCAAAUAAUAAUGCUCCACAAAAUCCUCAAACGUAAGAUUAGACAUAGUAACUUAGGUUAAUAUUAUAAUAUUCCACUGUUAAAGUAUAUUGACUUAAGAAUUGCUUGAAAUCAAUCAAAACUUUGUCAAUAUAUUAUUAGUAGCCUUCAGUGUUUAAUUGUAUAUUUAAAGAAACAAGACUCACUGAACAUUGUCGACAAAACUUAUGUAUUGAAGCUCUGAAUAUUUCUUUCAAAUAUAUGUUCACUCUGUUGAUUGUUUUUUUCAUGUUUAUGAAUUUAUCAAUGCAUUCUUUUAUUUAUUAAAUUUAAAAGAUAAUUGUAAAUUUAUUUCAUAAUUGUGGUCAAAAACAAUCAUUCCCGACAUGUAUUUUUAAUAGAUUAAAUUAAUU